GGAGUUAGCCGGUGCUUCUUCUGUGAGUGAUGUCCUUCCUGCCGGCUAUUAACCCGCAGGCCUUCUUCCUCACUGAAAGUGCUUUACAACCCGAAGGCCUUCUUCACACACGCGGCAUGGCUGGAUCAGGGUUGCCCCCAUUGUCCAAUAUUCCCCACUGCUGCCUCCCGUAGGAGUCUGGGCCGUGUCUCAGUCCCAGUGUGGCUGAUCAUCCUCUCAGACCAGCUACGGAUCGUCGCCUUGGUGAGCCGUUACCUCACCAACCAGCUAAUCCGACAUAGGCUCAUCCGAUAGCGCGAGGCCCGAAGGUCCCCCGCUUUCCCCCGUAGGGCGUAUGCGGUAUUAGCCUGGGUUUCCCCCAGGUUAUCCCCCACUACCGGGCAGAUUCCUAUGCAUUACUCACCCGUCCGCCGCUCGCCACCAGGGAGCAAGCUCCCCGUGCUGCCGCUCGACUUGCAUGUGUUAGGCCUGCCGCCAGCGUUCAUCUGAGCCAUAACUCAACUCUGA
rnacentral:rRNA from 1 species